rnacentral:rRNA from 1 species
AUGCCGCCCAAGGCUCCCAAAGCACCCGUCACAUGCAACUGGGUUAGAUCCACCGUCACUGAUAGCAUCUUAAACGAUUUUGUGAAGACUGGUCAUCUGCCGAAGAAAGAGAUCAUGUCUUAUCGUGCUCCUGACCCGUCAGAAGAAAAGCCUCAACCCAAGGAUGGGGAAGUUGUCAUUUUUACUGAUCACAUGAACCGGGGCUUUGCUCCACCCGGCUCAAAAAUUUUCAGAGACGUCUUGCACUUUUUUGACCUGCGACCUCAAGACAUCGGACCCAAUUCCGUGUCAAACAUCUGCAAUUUCCAAGUAUUCUGGAGGUGUACCUUGGAGAAGAACCCAGCUUACUACUCUUUAGAGAGUUAUUUUAUCUGA